UGGGGAAUAUUGGACAAUGGGGGAAACCCUGAUCCAGCCAUGCCGCGUGUGUGAAGAAGGCUCUAGGGUUGUAAAGCACUUUCAGUAGGGAGGAAAAGUUGAUAGCUAAUAACUGUCAGCCCUGACGUUACCUACAGAAGAAGCACCGGCAAACUCCGUGCCAGCAGCCGCGGUAAUACGGAGGGUGCGAGCGUUAAUCGGAAUUACUGGGCGUAAAGCGCGCGUAGGCGGUUUGAUAAGCUGGAUGUGAAAGCCCCGGGCUCAACCUGGGAACUGCAUCCAGAACUGUCUGACUAGAGUACAGUAGAGGUGAGUGGAAUUUCCUGUGUAGCGGUGAAAUGCGUAGAUAUAGGAAGGAACAUCAGUGGCGAAGGCGGCUCACUGGACUGAUACUGACGCUGAGGUGCGAAAGCGUGGGGAGCAAACAGG
rnacentral:rRNA from 1 species